GAUGAAGCCCACUUGUGGGUGGAUUAGUGGCGAACGGGUGAGUAACACGUGAGUAACCUGCCCUUGACUCUGGGAUAAGCCUGGGAAACUGGGUCUAAUACCGGAUAUGACCUUCCAUCGCAUGGUGGUUGGUGGAAAGCUUUUGUGGUUUUGGAUGGACUCGCGGCCUAUCAGCUUGUUGGUGAGGUAAUGGCUUACCAAGGCGACGACGGGUAGCCGGCCUGAGAGGGUGACCGGCCACACUGGGACUGAGACACGGCCCAGACUCCUACGGGAGGCAGCAGUGGGGAAUAUUGCACAAUGGGCGCAAGCCUGAUGCAGCGACGCCGCGUGAGGGAUGACGGCCUUCGGGUUGUAAACCUCUUUCAGUAGGGAAGAAGCGUAAGUGACGGUACCUGCAGAAGAAGCGCCGGCUAACUACGUGCCAGCAGCCGCGGUAAUACGUAGGGCGCAAGCGUUAUCCGGAAUUAUUGGGCGUAAAGAGCUCGUAGGCGGUUUGUCGCGUCUGCCGUGAAAGUCCGGGGCUCAACUCCGGAUCUGCGGUGGGUACGGGCAGACUAGAGUGAUGUAGGGGAGACUGGAAUUCCUGGUGUAGCGGUGAAAUGCGCAGAUAUCAGGAGGAACACCGAUGGCGAAGGCAGGUCUCUGGGCAUUAACUGACGCUGAGGAGCGAAAGCAUGGGGAGCGAACAGGAUUAGAUACCCUGGUAGUCCAUGCCGUAAACGUUGGGCACUAGGUGUGGGGGACAUUCCACGUUUUCCGCGCCGUAGCUAACGCAUUAAGUGCCCCGCCUGGGGAGUAC
rnacentral:rRNA from 1 species